UACGUAGGUGGCAAGCGUUGUCCGGAAUUAUUGGGCAUAAAGCGCGCGCAGGCGGUUCUUUAAGUCUGAUGUGAAAGCCCACGGCUCAACCGUGGAGGGUCAUUGGAAACUGGAGAACUUGAGUACAGAAGAGGAAAGCGGAAUUCCACGUGUAGCGGUGAAAUGCGUAGAGAUGUGGAGGAACACCAGUGGCGAAGGCGGCUUUCUGGUCUGUAACUGACGCUGAGGCGCGAAAGCGUGGGGAGCAAACAGG
rnacentral:rRNA from 1 species